rnacentral:sRNA from 1 species
GGUAUCAUGUACGCCUCACAUGAGAAGGAGGGACAGCCAAGAUAGAAACAGCUGUGACUUCGACCCCAUCUGCUUCUGGGCAGUUCAGCAAGCCUUUCUCAUUUUCUCCAUCAGGGACUGGCUUUAAUUUUGGGAUAAUCACACCAACACCGUCUUCUAAUUUCACUGCUGCACAAGGGGCAACACCCUCCACUAAAGAGUCAAGCCAGCCGGACGCAUUCUCAUCUGGUGGGGGAAGCAAACCUUCUUAUGAGGCCAUUCCUGAAAGCUCACCUCCCUCAGGAAUCACAUCCGCAUCAAACACCACCCCAGGAGAACCUGCCGCAUCUAGCAGCAGACCUGUGGCACCUUCUGGAACUGCUCUUUCCACCACCUCUAGUAAGCUGGAAACCCCACCAUCCAAGCUGGGAGAGCUUCUGUUUCCAAGUUCUUUGGCUGGAGAGACUCUGGGAAGUUUUUCAGGACUGCGGGUUGGCCAAGCAGAUGAUUCUACAAAACCAACCAAUAAGGCUUCAUCCACAAGCCUAACUAGUACCCAGCCAACCAAGACGUCAGGCGUGCCCUCAGGGUUUAAU